rnacentral:rRNA from 1 species
CCUACGGGUGGCAGCAGUGGGGAAUAUUGCACAAUGGGGGCAAGCCUGAUCCAGCAACGCCGCGUGAAGGAAGACGGUUUUCGGAUUGUAAACUUCUGUUCAUAGUGAAGAAUAAUGACGGUAGCUAAGCAGCAAGCCACGGCUAACUACGUGCGAGCAGCCGCGGUACUACGUAGGUGGCAAGCGUUUUCCGGAAUUACUGGGUUUAUAGGGAGCGCAGGUGGGUAGCCAAGUCAGCUGUGAAAACUUGGGGCUUAACUUGUAGAUUGCAGUUGAAACUGGUUUUCUUGAGUGAAGUAGAGGUUGGCGGAAUUCGGGGUGUAGCGGUGAAAUGCGUAGAUAUUAGGAAGAACACCGGUUGCGAAGGCGGCCAACUGGGCUGUAACUGACGCUGAGGCUCGAAAGUGUGGGGAGCAAACAGGAUUAGAUACCCCUGUAGUC